GCAGCAGCAGCAGCAGCCUGGCCUGGGCGGCGAGGGGCGCUGUUUCCCAGGCGCGCAGCUGGGAUUUAAAGAGACAGACGCGUGUCUCGGGGCUCUAAAGGUUCCUGAGCCCCGGGAGGGGAGUCCCGCCGCCGCUCGCCCAAGGUCCGUCUUCCCCCACCCACCUCCCAAGCCAGAGCCCCAAGAAACCCCAGCCCGCUCCCGGGGCGAGCAAAGUUUCCUGCAGAGACGACCCCUGAGAAUUGCGUGAGGACCCACCUCGGCCACCUCUCCUGACUGCAGAAACAGGCUGCCAGGAGAAGCCUGGAGAACGUGCUGAGAGGUACAUUCCAGACACUACCCCAACGUUCUCCAAAGACUCACCUUUCUCUACGCGCCUUUUCCUUACACCUAGGAACACAAGAAUUGGGGGGCGGCGGAGGAGGGGGUAACAGAAAGAAGACACCAGCCUGACCCAUUUCCUUCUACCCUAACUCCAAGCCAGUGCAGUUCUCAGUGAGCAGCUCUAUCGAUGUUGCACACACCAUACGUCAGAAACAGAAAGUGAUGAGCAACGAGCAACAAUACGUGAUUUGCUUCUACCACGGACAUGUAGAACCAGACAAAUUACAAUCCAGUAGGUUUCUUUCCUAUGCUAACCAUCAGUUCUCACCGCUUUAUACGCGACCCAGGACCUUUGUGGAACCAACGCAACCCAAACUUUCCCCCUGGGAGAGAGGCAGAAAGGGAAACUCUCUUGAGAUACCAAGGGUCGUAGAUGCUUCAUAAAUAUCGAGGGUACUCUAUAACUGGGUUGAUAGACGGUGUCUGUGAGAGGGGCGAACCUAUAUCUAGAUUAUCAACAGCUGGCAAGCAGGAGUUAGACAUUAUCCCUCUUUCAGUCUUAGACUGUAUCAAUUUUAUGAGCUGUGAAUAUAACAGGGGAGAUACCUUCCCAUCCCAGGGUCUUAAGUUUCCAUCUUGUACCUCACUGUCCACUCACACCCAGAACUCACACCCCACCAUCCAACCUUCAUGAUCUUUGCUCUUCCUUUACCUCUCGCCGAGAGUGAACCUUUCAGACAAAGAAAUGUGGCCUUCCAGGUUCCUACUCCCUUCAAGAAAUCGAGCAAGUUCUUAUUAUGAGAGGGGACAGUGGCUAACAAAAUAGCACCCUGAUAAAACACAGAAAAUACCGUAGCAAAAUACCUGAGACUUUAUAACACGUCAACCACAUCAUCUUACUACUCACAGUUCUGGGCUAGGGAGUCCACCAUCUAGACGCCAGCAGGUUUGGAAUCAGAUGAAGGACUGGUUUCUAUCUCUUGGGUGAUGUUUUCAAAGUUUUUUCCUCACGAGGGAAAGUGCUUAUUGCUGGAACAUCUCUUGUCUAAGAACUUUAUUCUGUUAGCCAGAGAAGAACCUUCAUGAUGUUGUCAGCUCCUAAAGGCUCCACCUGGUGAAGGUUUCAACAUGAAGCCCGGAGGGACACGAGCAUUCAAGACGACCAUGAACUGUUCUCAAAUCCUAGCAUGGCACAUACCUGCAAAUUUAAGCAGAGUUUCAGGAAUUCUCAGGACCCAUGUACCGUGUUCUGUGAAUCUAGGUAACCCAUAAGCGUUUAUGGUUCCAACCAAAUCCAACAUUCACGCCCUCCGUUACAGCUGCAGCCCUCUACCGGGAAUACUCCCUUCCGCCAAGCUUGCUUCGAUCUCUCCACCAUCGUAUCCAGCUAACUUUUUCCUCAUCUCCUAAGAGGAUGCUUCCUCAGCAUCGUCACCAAAUACCUGCAGGUCCCACACCUAAAUUUGGGCACCACUCCCCUGUGACGUCUCUGUCCCCACCUGUCACAUGUUAGGCAUUGUAAUAAGAUGUUUAUUUAUCUCCCUAGACUGUAUGCAUACAGUGAUAGGAGCCUAUAUUCCCUCCUUCUCCAAGUGCUCAACCCCUAACUCAGUGGGUGGGACACAGUCUCUAGAAUGAGAAAGUGGAGGAACAGAGACAAAUCUUUGAUGGUUGAUGUGGAACACAUUGCUAACCAAAGUCAAAACUAGUAAUAAUGUUAGGAAGGUCAGGGAGUUGACGAGGACAUCAAUGUUGCUGAACUGCUAGUACGUAUCCGGUGUGGGUUAAAUGCUUGGCAGGUUAUCUGUGCAUUCCUCCAAACUUCCUUGCAAGAUAAUUAUUUCGGAGAAAGCUGAGGCCUGAAAGGUCCACCACCCUCACAGAAGUCAGAAAAAGGC